rnacentral:rRNA from 1 species
CCUACGGGAGGCAGCAGUGGGGAAUUUUGCGCAAUGGGGGAAACCCUGACGCAGCAACGCCGCGUGAGUGAUGAAGGCUUUCGGGUCGUAAAGCUCUGUCAGUGGGAAAGAAGUGUGUUUUGGCUAAUAUCCAGAGCACUUGACGGUACCCACAAAGGAAGCACCGGCUAACUCCGUGCCAGCAGCCGCGGUAAU